AAGGGCUCGGCUCCAUGAGUAAGUAAGUAAGUAAGUAAAUAAAUGCAGACUAAGUUAAUCUCUCCGCUGUCCUUAUAUAUUUGAAUCUUUCGAGUGUCAACAUCGAUUGCUCAAUUACAAACUGGCGGUCUUUUGAACAUGAUUUUGAGCAGUGGGUUUAUGUUAUGUUAUGAUUACCAGAACGUUUUUUCUUAAAUGGGUUUUAAGGUAAACAUUUUAAUUUCAAAUGCAUUUGUUAAUAAUUCUAAUUUUUCGCAUUGUAAUUAUAGAUCAAAUACCUUGGGCUGGUACAGAAAUCGUUUAGAAAUUUCAUCUAAUAGAUGGUGCGACAUCACUUACUGGCUCAACCCAUUCUCGGCAAACUCUGAGUAAUAGUUGCAAAUUCCACCGAUAGAGUGUAUGAAUCUUUUGCACAUGCUACCAUCUAUAGCCAUGCAUUACGCGCUUAAGUAAUGGCGCAAUUUUCAAGGUGGGAAUGUCGUAAGUUGCAGUCAUGUUGGGUGUUGGUUCACGAUUACGUUGACGUAUUAGUGCAGUGUCGUUUAUUAAGAAAAUAUAAUUUCAAUUUUAAACGUAUAUCCUACAUCUCUGAGGAGUUUUCUUAUGUCUGUCCUUACGUAUGUUUUCAUUACGCAGGUCAAUCUUCGGUUUUUAAAUAAUUUAAACGUAAUUAAUUUUCUUUCUACCUGUACUUGCAUGUACUCUGUAAAACUACCUUUCAGAGUGUGUUCGCUGAUAGUAGAGAGUUGUUAGGAGAUUGUUGAUUUGAACAGUCCAUAGAAAUGACUGAUAUUUAAGUAAUAUCACUGUGACUGUGAACUUAUAGGUUAGAACUCAGGUUAUAUGUACAUGAUAAGGAGAGACUUGUGAGUGAAAGUGACCCAACAAACUCAAUAGGAACGGUAAUUUUGUUCUGUGUAAGGCAAGGAAGGGUUUACCCUGAAGAUGGAGGUGACCUUGAAGACAGGCAGCACGUUCCUGUGAAAUGGUUGAAUUUCUACCAGAAAACGUGGCGUCUCAUUCCAGAAAGCAGUACUCUUCAUAGUACCUACUGUGAGAACCUCGAACCUCAAGGCCAGCUUCACACUGACUGCGUGGAGAUGACUGCACAGCACACAGAUACUCACGAAGGUAGUGG